AUACGGAGGGUGCAAGCGUUAUUCGGAAUCACUGGGCGUAAAGGACGCGUAGGCGGGUUGACAAGUCAGAUGAGAAAUCCUACAGCUUAACUGUAGAACUGCAUUUGAAACUGCUAACCUAGAGUAUGGGAGGGGGAGAUGGAAUUAGUGGUGUAGGGGUAAAAUCCGUAGAUAUCACUAGGAAUACCGAAAGCGAAGGCGAUCUCCUGGAACAUAACUGACGCUAAGGCGUGAAAGCGUGGGGAGCAAAUAGGAUUAGAAACCCUAGUAGUCC
rnacentral:rRNA from 1 species